CAGCCGCCACGGUAACACGUAGGGUGCAAGCGUUAAUCGGAAUUACUGGGCGUAAAGCGUGCGCAGGCGGUUCUAUAAGACAGAUGUGAAAUCCCCGGGCUCAACUUGGGAACUGCAUUUGUGACUGUAGAGCUCGAGUACGGUAGAGGGGGAUGGAAUUCCGCGUGUAGCAGUGAAAUGCGUAGAUAUGCGGAGGAACACCGAUGGCGAAGGCAAUCCCCUGGACCUGUACUGACGCUCAUGCACGAAAGCGUGGGGAGCAAACAGGAUUAGAGACCCGAGUAGUCCCUGUCUCUUAUAA
rnacentral:rRNA from 1 species